CGCGGCCUAUCAGCUUGUUGGUGGGGUAACGGCCUACCAAGGCGACGACGGGUAGCCGGCCUGAGAGGGCGACCGGCCACACUGGGACUGAGACACGGCCCAGACUCCUACGGGAGGCAGCAGUGGGGAAUAUUGCGCAAUGGGCGAAAGCCUGACGCAGCGACGCCGCGUGGGGGAUGAAGGCCUUCGGGUUGUAAACCCCUUUCAGCAGGGACGAAGCGAGAGUGACGGUACCUGCAGAAGAAGCGCCGGCUAACUACGUGCCAGCAGCCGCGGUAACACGUAGGGCGCAAGCGUUGUCCGGAAUUAUUGGGCGUAAAGAGCUCGUAGGCGGUCUGUUGCGUCCGCUGUGAAAACUCGGGGCUUAACCCCGAGCCUGCAGUGGAUACGGGCAGACUAGAGGUAGGUAGGGGAGAAUGGAAUUCCCGGUGUAGCGGUGAAAUGCGCAGAUAUCGGGAGGAACACCGGUGGCGAAGGCGGUUCUCUGGGCCUUACCUGACGCUGAGGAGCGAAAGCGUGGGGAGCGAACAGGAUUAGAUACCCUGGUAGUCCACGCCGUAAACGUUGGGCGCUAGGUGUGGGAUCCUUCCACGGAUUCCGUGCCGCAGCUAACGCAUUAAGCGCCCCGCCUGGGGAGUACGG
rnacentral:rRNA from 1 species